AACGAACGCUGGCGGCAUGCCUAACACAUGCAAGUCGAACGAAGUCUUCGGACUUAGUGGCGCACGGGUGCGUAACGCGUGGGAAUCUGCCCUUGGGUGCGGAAUAACUUCUCGAAAGGGAUGCUAAUACCGCAUAAUGUCGUAAGACCAAAGAUUUAUCGCCCAAGGAUGAGCCCGCGUAAGAUUAGCUAGUUGGUGGGGUAAAAGCCUACCAAGGCGACGAUCUUUAGCUGGUCUGAGAGGAUGAUCAGCCACACUGGGACUGAGACACGGCCCAGACUCCUACGGGAGGCAGCAGUGGGGAAUAUUGGACAAUGGGCGAAAGCCUGAUCCAGCAAUGCCGCGUGAGUGAUGAAGGCCCUAGGGUUGUAAAGCUCUUUUACCAGGGAUGACAAUGACAGUACCUGGAGAAUAAGACUCCGGCUAACUCCGUGCCAGCAGCCGCGGUAAU
rnacentral:rRNA from 1 species